ensembl:ncRNA C30D11.3 ncRNA
ACCACUUCCACCUCCACCGGUUCCACUGACACCACCUCGAUUCGUUGAACGAGAAUGAUGAUGAGUUGGUGGGACAAGUGUGGCUGGUGGUGUGAAUGUAAGUGACGGUGGAGCUCCACACGGUGAGCCUGGCUCCCCCGAAUCACGU